UACGUAGGGAGCAAGCGUUGUCCGGAAUCAUUGGGCGUAAAGCGCGCGUAGGUGGCUUCGUAAGUCCGUUGUGAAAGUCAAAGGCUCAACCUUUGAAAGCCGAUGGAUACUGUGGAGCUAGAGUACGGAAGAAGGCGAGUGGAAUUCCUGGUGUAGCGGUGGAAUGCGCAGAUAUCAGGAGGAACACCAAUAGCGAAGGCAGCUCGCUGGGACGUGACUGACGCUGAGACGCGAAAGCGUGGGGAGCAAACAGG
rnacentral:rRNA from 1 species